ACUAGCUGACGAGUCUUAAAUAGGACGAAAUGUAUGUUAUCCUGAAU
rnacentral:hammerhead_ribozyme from 1 species